CCAGGUUUAUGUUCCAGAUUCCAGGUUCAUGUUCCAGGUUCCAGGUUCAUGUUCCAGGUUCCAGGUUUAUGUUCCAGGUUCAUGUUCCAGUUCCAGGUUUAUGUUCCAGGUUCCAGGCUCAUGUUCCAGGUUCAUGUUCCAGGUUCAUGUUCCAGGUUCCAGGUUUAUGUUCCAGGUUCCAGGUUCAUGUUCCAGGUUUAUGUUCCAGGUUCCAGGUUUAUGUUCCAGGUUCAUGUUCCAGGUUCAGGUUCCAGUUCCAGGUUUGUUCCAGGAGCAGAAGGUCCAGAUGAUCCAACCCGAAGGUCGGAACCAAACAGGUCUGGAGGCGAGACGUUCAGAAACAAAACGUUCCAAACUGGGAGCAGCUGGAGGUCAAACUGUCUGACC